GGAUGAGAACCUCCGGGGGCGGGGAGGUUCGACUCGAGCGAAGCGAGAGAACGUUGCGCCAGCAACGGCCCGCAGGGCGAGCCACGAAGUGGCGAGUAAUCCUCUAUCACCGACCA
rnacentral:sRNA from 1 species